rnacentral:lncRNA from 1 species
GGUUCCUCUUUAACUGACAAAUUACCUACACACUAGUCCAUGAAAGUGAGCGGAGGAGGGGGUGUAAACAAAACAACAUUAUUGACGUUUAUACCACGAUUGGUUCCUCUUUAACUGACAAAUUACCUACACACUAGUCCAUGAAAGUGAGCGGAGGAGGGGGGUGUAAACAAAACAACAUUAUUGACGUUAUACCACGAUUAGUUCCUCAUUAACUGACAAAUUACCUACACACUAGUCCAUGAAAGUGAACGGAGGAGGGACAAACGAAUCAACAUGCAACCAUUCAAAUUGAUGUGCAAAUGUAAUUACAUCUUCAUACCAAAUAUAAUUACCAUACCAUAAGUGGUUUAUUUUAAACUGAUGAAAAUGAGACCUGCCAAUAUUUAUACAGCUGCAUAACAAAUGCAUCAAUUUACCAAAAGCGAUUCCAUUUAAAAUGACUUACCAAAAGCGAAUCCUCUAAACUUGACAAACAUUUUAAUCUGUCAUAGACGCGAUAACAAUAUAUUAUUGUAAGUAUAUUUGAAGAAAACUUGCAAGAACAAUUCAAAUU